AACCAAAGUGUUGAGCCUGGUUCAGGGCUGUUUCCCUGUUCUGGUAAUUAAACUUUGGGACAUUAAAACAAGGUCUGAGAGGGAUGACUGGGUAGAAGGUAUGGCUCUAUUCAUUUCCCUCCUAGACUACAGGA